rnacentral:rRNA from 1 species
UGGUGGAGUGAUCUGUCUGGUUAAUUCCGAUAACGAACGAGACCUUAACCUGCUAAAUAGUCAGGCUCAAUAAUAUUGGGUCGCCGACUUCUUAGAGGGACUAUUGGCGUUUAGCCAAUGGAAGUUUGAGGCAAUAACA